CCUACGGGUGGCAGCAGUAGGGAAUUUUGCGCAAUGGGCGAAAGCCUGACGCAGCAACGCCGCGUGAUCGAGACGCCCUUCGGGGUGGUAAGAUCUGUCAGUUGGGACGAAACUUGACGGUACCCACAGAGGAAGCACCGGAUAACUCCGUGCCAGCAGCCGCGGGAAUACGGCGGGUGAAAGCGUGGUCGGGAAUCAAUGGGCGUAACGAGUUCGUAGGCGGCACGUAAAGUCUGGUGUUAAAGGCAGAGGCUUAACUUCUGUACGGCACUGGAUACUUGCGAGCUAGAGUGCGGUAGAGGUAAGUGGAAUUCCUGGUGUAGCGGUGAAAUGCGUAGAGAUCAGGAGGAACAUCGGUGGCGUAAGCGCUGUACUGGGCCGUAAUUGACGCUGAGGAACGAAAGCCAGGGUAGCAAAUGGGAUUAGAUACCCCAGUAGUC
rnacentral:rRNA from 1 species